rnacentral:rRNA from 1 species
AUACGGAGGGUGCAAGCGUUACUCGGAAUCACUGGGCGUAAAGGACGCGUAGGCGGGUUGUCAAGUCUGAUGUGAAAUCCUAUGGCUCAACCAUAGAACUGCAUUGGAAACUGGCAACCUAGAGUAUGGGAGGGGGAGAUGGAAUUAGUGGUGUAGGGGUAAAAUCCGUAGAUAUCACUAGGAAUACCGAAAGCGAAGGCGAUCUCCUGGAACAUAACUAACGCUAAGGCGUGAAAGCGUGGGGAGCAAACGGGAUUAGAAACCCUAGUAGUCC